UAUAUGACAAUUAGCGUAGGUUCUUGUGAACAAUAGGAUAAUUGGACAGUUUUGGGAUCUUAUUUACAAUAUUGCCACAAGCUUUUGUUUACCACGACGACACCCACCUGCUUAUCUCCAUGAAAACCUAGGUUCCUAACCGCCUUUGUUCAAAUUAAAAGGAAGAGAUAGAAAACGUGAGGAAUAGAAAGAGAUGGUUACCGAGACAAAGAGUUAGAGAUGAGAAGGAGUUAAAAGGGAGGGGCCGAGGACGGUGGUUCCGUGGCGGCGCUACGGCGGCAAACCACCAGGCGUGUGGAUCGGUUAUGUUCCCUAUCUGAAGGUGUGGAAGAAACUGGUGGUGGUGGUUUAUACACCCCAGCGACGGUGACGAGGUUAGACGGUGAAUAGCUCACUGGUCCACUUCAAAACUUGUCAGAAUAACUAAGAGAAAUACAUUGGGUCAAAUGAUUGUCCUUUACUUUUCAUUAACUCCUCCAAAGGUCGAUUAGUUAAUCACAAACUGAAUGUCUGAAUCCAUGGGAUUUGUAUGGUUUAAAUGCUUCACCCGGUCAGCAUCUUGGCUAUUAACAAUGAGGAUAUAGAUGAGUUAGUCUCUUAUUAUUUUUUUAAACCAGUUUUCUUUAAGGCUUAUUUAUGUUGGUUAGAUGAUCUAUGUUCAACUUUAUAUAAGUUGCAAUAGUUAGAAGGAUUUUGUUCUUGAUCUGUCACCCAAAGUUAUGAUUCCUAGCAUGGAGCAAAGAAUCCGUU
rnacentral:lncRNA from 1 species